rnacentral:rRNA from 1 species
AUUGAACGCUGGCGGAAUGCUUUACACAUGCAAGUCGAACGGUAGAGGGGGCAACCCCUCGAGAGUGGCGAACGGGUGAGUAAUAUAUCGGAACGUGCCCAGUCGUGGGGGAUAACGUAGCGAAAGCUACGCUAAUACCGCAUCAGAUCUCUGGAUGAAAGCGGGGGAUCGCAAGACCUCGCGCGAUUGGAGCGGCCGAUAUCAGAUUAGCUAGUUGGUGGGGUAAAGGCCCACCAAGCCCACGAUCUGUAGCGGGUCUGAAAGGACGACCAGCCACACGGGAACUGAGACGCGGUCCAGACUCCUACGGGAGGCAGCAGUGGGGAAUUUUGGACAAUGGGCGAAAGCCUGAUCCAGCCAUUCCGCGUGCAGGAUGAAGGCCCUCGGGUUGUAAACUGCUUUUGUACAGAACGAAAAAGUUUCUACUAAUACUAGGAGCUCAUGACGGUACUGUAAGAAUAAGCACCGGCUAACUACGUGCCAGCCGCCGCCGUAA